rnacentral:rRNA from 1 species
CUUAGUGGCGGACGGGUGAGUAACGCGUGAGUAACCUGCCUUUCAGAGGGGGAUAACAACCGGAAACGGUUGCUAAUACCGCAUAAAAUAUUGAAACCGCAUGGUUUUAAUAUCAAAGGAGCAAUCCGCUGAGAGAUGGACUCGCGUCCAAUUAGCUAGUUGGUGAGGUAAUGGCUCACCAAGGCGACGAUUGGUAGCCGGACUGAGAGGUUGAACGGCCACAUUGGGACUGAGACACGGCCCAGACUCCUACGGGAGGCAGCAGUGGGGAAUAUUGCACAAUGGGGGAAACCCUGAUGCAGCGACGCCGCGUAAGGGAAGAAGGUUUUCGGAUUGUAAACCUCUGUCCUCGGUGAAGAUAAUGACGGUAACCGAGGAGGAAGCCACGGCUAACUACGUGCCAGCAGCCGCGGUAAUACGUAGGUGGCAAGCGUUGUCCGGAAUUACUGGGUGUAAAGGGAGCGUAGGCGGGGAUGCAAGUUGAAUGUUAAAUCUAUGGGCUCAACCCAUAUACGCGUUCAAAACUGCAUUUCUUGAGUGAAGUAGAGGUAGGCGGAAUUCCUAGUGUAGCGGUGAAAUGCGUAAAUAUUAGGAGGAACACCAGUGGCGAAGGCGGCCUACUGGGCUUUAACUGACGCUGAGGCUCGAAAGCGUGGGUAGCAAACAGGAUUAGAUACCCUGGUAGUCCACGCUGUAAACGAUGAUUACUAGGUGUGGGGGGACUGACCCCUUCCGUGCCGCAGUUAACACAAUAAGUAAUCCACCUGGGGAGUACGACCGCAAGGUUGAAA